AAGUCGUAACAAGGUUUCCGUAGGUGAACCUGCGGAAGGAUCAUUACAGAGUUCAUGCCCUCACGGGUAGAUCUCCCACCCUUGAAUAUUAUACCUUAGUUGCUUUGGCAGGCCGUGGAAACACCAUGGGCCGUCAGGCUUUCGCGCGCGAAAAGAACAAUUACCGUGUUUAGUCUAUGUCUGAUGAUCAUAGUAAACUUAA
rnacentral:misc_RNA from 1 species